CCUACGGGGGGCAGCAGUGGGGAAUAUUGGGCAAUGGGCGCAAGCCUGACCCAGCAACGCCGCGUGAAGGAAGAAGGCUUUCGGGUUGUAAACUUCUUUUAAGCGGGAAGAGCAGAAGCCGGUACCUCUUGAAUAAGCCACGGCUAACUACGGGCCAGCAGCCGCGGUAAUACGUAGGUGGCAAGCGUUGUCCGGAUUUACUGGGUGUAAAGGGCGGGUAGCCGGGCUGACAAGUCAGAUGUGAAAUUCCGGGGCUCAACCCCCGACCUGCAUUUGAAACUGGUGGUCUUGAGUAUCGGAGAGGCAGGCGGAAUUCGUGGUGUAGCGGUGAAAUGCGUAGAUAUUAGGAGGAACACCAGUGGCGAAGGCGGCCUGCUGGACGACAACUGACGGUGAGGCGCGAAAGCGUGGGGAGCAAACAGGAUUAGAUACCCGGGUAGUC
rnacentral:rRNA from 1 species